rnacentral:rRNA from 1 species
ACGGGUGAGUAAUACAUCGGAACAUGUCCUGUAGUGGGGGAUAGCCCGGCGAAAGCCGGAUUAAUACCGCAUACGAUCUACGGAUGAAAGCGGGGGACCUUCGGGCCUCGCGCUAUAGGGUUGGCCGAUGGCUGAUUAGCUAGUUGGUGGGGUAAAGGCCUACCAAGGCGACGAUCAGUAGCUGGUCUGAGAGGACGACCAGCCACACUGGGACUGAGACACGGCCCAGACUCCUACGGGAGGCAGCAGUGGGGAAUUUUGGACAAUGGGCGAAAGCCUGAUCCAGCAAUGCCGCGUGUGUGAAGAAGGCCUUCGGGUUGUAAAGCACUUUUGUCCGGAAAGAAAUCCUUGGCUCUAAUACAGUCGGGGGAUGACGGUACCGGAAGAAUAAGCACCGGCUAACUACGUGCCAGCAGCCGCGGUAAUACGUAGGGUGCGAGCGUUAAUCGGAAUUACUGGGCGUAAAGCGUGCGCAGGCGGUUUGCUAAGACCGAUGUGAAAUCCCCGGGCUCAACCUGGGAACUGCAUUGGUGACUGGCAGGCUAGAGUAUGGCAGAGGGGGGUAGAAUUCCACGUGUAGCAGUG